GUGAAAAGGAGUGCCAUUAUGUCCAGUCUAGAGGCUGCAGAGUGGGCAUCUUGGUAGCUUCGGAUCAGGAGUGGUACACAACUCCCAGUCUACACUCUCUGCUGCUGGUCACGAUGCAGAUGAAAAUGAGAGGCUAUACAAAACUGGACACAGACUUUACUGGGAGUGCUGGAUCUGAGGCUAUGGAUCUGCACUGGUAUCCAG